UCCUGGUUAGCUCAAUUGGUAGAGCGCUCCACCUGUAAUGGAGAGGUCCCGGGUUCGAUACCCCGACCAGGCG
rnacentral:tRNA from 1 species